rnacentral:rRNA from 1 species
CCUACGGGAGGCAGCAGUGGGGGAUAUUGCACAAUGGGGGAAACCCUGAUGCAGCGACGCCGCGUGGGUGAAGAAGUAUUUCGGUAUGUAAAGCCCUAUCAGCAGGGAAGAAAGAAGACGGUACCUGACUAAGAAGCCCCGGCUAACUACGUGCCAGCAGCCGCGGUAAUACGUAGGGGGCGAGCGUUAUCCGGAUUCACUGGGUGUAAAGGGAGCGUAGACGGCCGUGCAAGCCAGGAGUGAAAGCCCGGGGCCCAACCCCGGGACUGCUCUUGGAACUGUGCGGAUGGAGUGCGGGAGGGGCAGGCGGAAUUCCUGGUGUAGCGGUGAAAUGCGUAGAUAUCAGGAGGAACACCGGCGGCGAAGGCGGCCUGCUGGACCGCGACUGACGUUGAGGCUCGAAAGCGUGGGGAGCGAACAGGAUUAGAUACCCUGGUAGUC